UCCAGUUUGUGUCAAGUUGACAGAAGCUAACCAAUGAAGGAACUCAGAUGAGAAAGAGUGACAAGCGUGGACUCACACAUAGGCAUGGACCAGCGCUGUGCCCAGUGAACAAGGAGGAAGGAGAAAGGGUGGUACAAAGAAAGAACGCAGCUUAUGAUUAACCAGGCCUGACAUGUGGAUCCCAUAGACUGACAGUCCCAUCCCAACCUCUUCUGAGUUUCUAGAGAGGAGUCUCAGCCUCCCUGUGUAGAACUUUUUGUGGAGCCAGCUCACCUGAGGCUCGCUGUUGGUUUUCUGGAAACCAGCUCUUGUUGCUGUUCCCUGAAGGAUCUCACCUGAGCCUCCUGUCAUGGUGAUUGGCGGAGGGUGAUGUUCACCGGCUGUCUGUGCUUCCUUCAAGAUUUCAUUGGCUCUCAGCACUUCUGCUGGCCCGGUGGCUUGCUUACUGAGUUCUACACCAGAGUCCUGCAGUCGGAGAGACCAGUGAAUUGAUGAGCAGAGCCUAACCUGGGAACUGGGCUAUUAGUACAUCUCUGAAGCAUCUGACAGUCUACAGUCAGUUGACAAGCGCUGUGAAUCUACCAGAACAGGACUAAUGCAGAAGAGAAAGAGGAGAGGAAGCCUCAGCCUCCGGUUUCAAGGAGCCCUCCUCCAGGGACAAAACGCAGGCCUGAGUGGUCCUUUUAAGCCUGUCCCUGUUGGAAAGAGCACGGGAGUGACUUGGUCACAUGGUUCAGUCCCCAGGCCCACUCCUCUCGCCUCCCUCCUCCACGGAGCCACACUGCCCAAGUGUGCCUCAGAGGCAGUUGAGCAAAUCCAGAUGGUAGAAAGCCCCAUUCCCAGGAGGGCCCGACAGCUGCUGAAGGAUAUUGCCUUGGAGGGAGCCUUGUUUUGUCAUCAGUGAGUAACUGGAGGCGGACUGUGGUUCAGGUUUCCAUCCAAAUGUGGGGGAAGAAGGGAAGGGGGAGGGGAGCUGACUAGAGAAAUGCAGAUGCUGGAGAAGUAGCCAUGUGUUGUGCCCUGCCACAUAGUUACCUUGUUGUUAGACAGGCCCUCCCACGCACGCAGACCAUCUCCCUAAAUGGACAUUUCUUCACCCACCGCUUUAACUUGUGAUAGAAGGAACUUAGCUCGGCCACAAGAGAUUUGUUUCCCGCUCCAAAGUCACACUCCUCUCUGGGUGUGGGGCAUGGGUCUUAACAUAACUCCAUCUAACCACAAGGACUUGAGGAUGGGGGAGGCAAUAUUCCUUCCUCGCCAAGUUUUCUCUCCUUAUCUCUCCUUCACAUAUCCCACCCCGGCCCACAGCUUCUGCAAUGUUCUGUCCCUCACCCUCCCUGUAAUUUAUGGACGUGCUUUGCCUGGAAGAGCCAAAAAGCUAAGGAGGUUAUAUUGUCGUGCCAAGACACAGGACUUACUUGAGCCUCAAGAAGACCCCAAGCCCUGGUUCUGACAACCUCUACUCUUGUAACCUCAGUCAAAUGACUGCCUUUUCUUCCAGGUUCUCUUCCUACUCUCCCAUGGCUCUGUCUGUGCCUGUAUCUCCGAGCAUAACCUUUAAUCAGAUCUGCUAACCAUGUCCCAAGCUGCGCUAUUAUCAAACUAGACACAUAGCCAAUAUCCUCCAAAUAUUAAAAUCUAACAUCGGACUGUGAAAUUAGAACAAUUAUACCAAACUGUAAAUACCAAGUGAGGCAUUUCACACGAUUUGUAAAAUAAAGAGUAAAAAGAUUACUAUAGUGUACUAUAAAGGGUAAAAAGAAUAAAAAAUAAAUAAAUAAAAUUUCAAAGUUGCAA